CUGGUGUCUCAUGCCACCAACACCUAUUGACCAUAUGGUACACGGUAUCAUAUGUUACAGGGUUCCAUAUGGUACAUUGUACUAUAUGGUAUAGGGUACCAUGCAGUACAGGAUAACAUAUGGUGCAGGGUACCAUAUGGCACAGGGUACCAUAUGGCACAGGGUACCAUACAGUACAGGAUACCAUAUAGUACAGAUACAAGGAUCCCUAUGGAAAUAAGUCACCCUGACUUUUUUGAGAUAUCCUAGGAUUUUAUACAUAUGCUGCUAUGUAUAAUAAUCCAUGUAAUUGUAUUUGUGUACACCUGAAUAAACUUACUCAAGUGCAUGUGGCAUCGUAAGUAAGUUUAUUUAGGUAUACACAAAUAAAGUUACAUAGAAUAUCAUACUUAGCAGCAUAUGUUUGGAGAACCUAGGAUAACCCAAAAAAGUCAGACAGACUUAUUUGCAUUAGGGUCCCUGUACCCUGUACUAUAUGGUACAGUGUACCAUAUGGCACAUUGUACCAUAUGAUACCAUUGUAUGACAUGGCACCAAUGUACCAUAGAAUUCCUCUUCAGCUCCACUUCCAUCAGUCUUAGAACUAGAACAACAGAUGCUCUUAAAUCUCCAUAAGAAGUCAUGGAUGGAAGGCUUAACAUUGCAGAAUUACAAUGAACAUAGCAGCCUUAAUGAAGACACUGUUAAAGAGAUUCUUAACUUAGCAACAGCAUAUAAUAAGUUUCCGAGACAAAGUGCUUUGUCAUCCACCUCAAGGAACACGUCAAGUUCCUGUACACUUGUAAAUACAUGCUCCUAUGAUGACCUAGUUACAAGCAAAACUGCACUACCGAACGUAGCACCCAGAAUGACCAAAGAUUACCAACAGUGAAACCUACAAAUUGAAAAUAAUAGAGAUCAAAGGAAGACUGACACAAACCGAAAGCAACACCCCGCUGCCAGCCGAACAACGUAACCCUAAGCUUUGUAUAACUACAACUUCUUAACUACAACAAUUCCUGUAGUAUUAUGAGGCGCAGUCUAAGAGGAAACGGCACCAAGGCCAGCAAGAAAACACCGAAAAAUCAACUAUUCAACAAGUGUAGCCAGGAGGACGCCGGCCCAGCAACCACCCCACUCACCACCGCUCAAGGCGACACCACAACAAUAACAACAAACAUGGCUGCCACCAGCCCAUCCUCCCCUCUCUUCCCCGGAUUCAACCUGCCAAGUAGUCUCUCAGGUAUGACCAACGAUCCAGAUACCCUAAAGACAUGCAUCUCCACCUUAGUUAUUGAAAAUAUGAAUCUUCGAGAGACACUAACAAAACAAGACACCAGGAUGACACAACUCGAGAACAAAAUCCUCAGUCUUGAACAAAAGUUAUCAACACCAGGAAUGACUAACUGUGACAAGACCAUCCAAGCAUUCAUAGAUAGCCAUACUCAACAAAUAAAAUCUCUUAAUACAAAGGUUGAAGAAGCAGUAAAAGAAUGGAAGAACAACUUAGAUAACCAGUUCAGUGACUACUUUG